GAUGAACGCUGGCGGUGUGCCUAAUACAUGCAAGUCGAGCGAACAGACGAGGAGCUUACUCCUCUGACGUUAGCGGCGGACGGGUGAGUAACACGUGGAUAACCUACCUAUAAGACUGGGAUAACUUCGGGAAACCGGAGCUAAUACCGGAUAACAUGUUGAACCGCAUGGUUCAACAGUGAAAGACGGUCUUGCUGUCACUUAUAGAUGGAUCCGCGUCGCAUUAGCUAGUUGGUAAGGUAACGGCUUACCAAGGCAACGAUGCGUAGCCGACCUGAGAGGGUGAUCGGCCACACUGGAACUGGGGCACGGUCCAGACUCCUACGGGAGGCAGCAGUAGGAAAUCUUCCGCAAUGGGCGAAAGCCUGACGGAGCAACGCCGCGUGAGUGAAGAAGGUCUUCGGAUCGUAAAACUCUGUUAUUAGGGAAGAACAAAUGUGUAAGUAACUAUGCACGUCUUGACGGUACCUAAUCAGAAAGCCACGGCUAACUACGUG
rnacentral:rRNA from 1 species